rnacentral:rRNA from 1 species
UUUGGCCUACGGGGGGCAGCAGUGAGGAAUAUUGGUCAAUGGCCGCAGGGCUGAACCAGCCAAGUCGCGUGAGGGAUGACGGUCCUAUGGAUUGUAAACCUCUUUUGUCAGGGAGCAAAGGGCGCCACGUGUGGCGCUUUGCGAGUACCUGAAGAAAAAGCAUCGGCUAACUCCGUGCCAGCAGCCGCGGUAAUACGGAGGAUGCGAGCGUUAUCCGGAUUUAUUGGGUUUAAAGGGUGCGUAGGCGGUCCGUUAAGUCAGCGGUAAAAUUGCGGGGCUCAACCCCGUCGAGCCGUUGAAACUGG